rnacentral:rRNA from 1 species
GUCCACGCCGUAAACGAUGAGUGCUAGGUGCUGCGGGUAUUGACCCCUGCGGUGCCGUAGCUAACGCGUUAAGCACUCCGCCUGUGGAGUACGGCCGCAAGGCUAAAAACUCAAAGGAAUUGACGGGGGCCCCGCACAAGCGGUGGAGCAUGUGGUUCAAUUCGACGCAACGCGCAGAACCUUACCUGGGUUAAAUCCACUCAAAGCUGGCAGAGAUGCCGGGGUGCCCUUCGGGGAAUGAGUGAGAAGGUGCUGCAUGGCUGUCGU